rnacentral:rRNA from 1 species
AGAUUGAACGCUGGCGGCAGGCCUAACACAUGCAAGUCGAGCGGCAGCACGGGUACUUGUACCUGGUGGCGAGCGGCGGACGGGUGAGUAAUGCCUAGGAAUCUGCCUGAUAGUGGGGGAUAACGUUCGGAAACGGACGCUAAUACCGCAUACGUCCUACGGGAGAAAGUGGGGGAUCUUCGGACCUCACGCUAUCAGAUGAGCCUAGGUCGGAUUAGCUAGGUUGGUAAGGGU